rnacentral:lncRNA from 1 species
CAAUGUCUUCGCUGUCUUUACAUGAAGAGGAAAAAUUUACUGAAGUGCUUCAGACAGCUUCGAAACUAAGACAUCCAAACAUUGUGACCCUUCUCGGUUUCUGCAUUGAUAAUGGGCAGCACCUUCUUGUCUAUGAGUAUGUUGGGCAUUUGUCCUUGUACAAUGCUAUGCAUGACAAAGUAUACAAGCCACUUUCAUGGGGCUUGCGUCUCCGCAUUGCUAUUGGAGUUGCCCGAGCUCUUGAGUAAGUAUCUUUAUCUUCUCAAAGAUUAAUAGUAGUAGCUUAUUCCCAAUCCGUGCAUGGAUUUUUUUGACAUGGUGAAUCUAAAUUUUCAGCUAUUUGCACUCGUCGUUCUUCGAAAGUUCUAAAUGAGAAAUUUUCAUUAUACGUUUCUCAUCCAUUGAUGUUUCAGUUUGCGGCUGUGAGAAACAUCCCAAUGUCUUCGCUGUCUUUACAUGAAGAGGAAAAAUUUACUGAAGUGCUUCAGACAGCUUCGAAACUAAGACAUCCAAACAUUGUGACCCUUCUCGGUUUCUGCAUUGAUAAUGGGCAGCACCUUCUUGUCUAUGAGUAUGUUGGGCAUUUGUCCUUGUACAAUGCUAUGCAUGACAAAGUAUACAAGCCACUUUCAUGGGGCUUGCGUCUCCGCAUUGCUAUUGGAGUUGCCCGAGCUCUU